ensembl:misc_RNA Metazoa_SRP Metazoan signal recognition particle RNA
GCUGGGUGUGGUGGUGUGCACCUGUAGUCCCAGCUACUCAGGGGGCCGAGUUGGGAGAAUUGCUUGAGCCCGGGAGGUUGAGGCUGCAGUGAGCUGUGUUGUGCCACUGCACUCUAGCCUGGGUGACAGAGCAAGACCCUGUCUCAA